CAAAUUAUACUUAAAAAAAUUCAAAACCGUUACCUACAGUGUUAUCUCUUUAUCUGUACUCUGUCACACACGAGGAACCGUCAGUCAGUAACAGUCGCAUCUGUGUGUAGUGCUCUUUGGUGCUGCUGCUCAAGACUGAAGAUUCUGUAGUAACCAAAAAUAAAUAAAAAAGAAGUUGCAACAAGGUCCUCGAUGAUGAAGUACCUGCACUUUAUUUCCUGUUUCCUUGCGUGGGUGCCGAGUAACACUGAGCAAACCUCCCACCUGGUAGUCUCUUCCGACUCACCAUACUGUACACCCAGUACAGGUAGUCAGAACCUGCGCUGUGAUUUCAAGAAUAACCCUCAAGGUUUCCGUCAGAACCCACUUGACUGCAGAGAUUGACUGC
rnacentral:misc_RNA from 1 species